UUUCUUUGUCGUGUGUGAAACUGGUGGUGUGCAUCUCACUCGUGAAAUAUUGGGCACAUCAGGCAACCAUAGUAAAGUAAUACUUUAGUGAAUGUUUCGCCAAGAAAACAUUGUUAACAUUCACCACCACCCGAAACUUUAAUUUGAGAAUACCUAAUAUUUGAAACUCCUUUUCCAAUUACAAAAUGAAUGAGAAUUUCACAAGUUGUGAAGCAGACAUUGUGGGGUAUCUGCUCUUGUGCUCUCACCUCCAUGCCAGAUGGCCAUUAAGAAGGACCAUAAAUGUGUGGAUUGUGGAGACAAACAUUGUGGUUCCAACGGUUUCCUUAGUUAG